GGUGCCCCACACCUGCAGGGGGCAGUGACUGACAUGAGGCAGGAGCGCCUUAUGUCAACCUUGAUGGCGUCAUUCAUUUGAGAUCAAAUUCCAGUUAAUGCUAUUAUAUUUACACACAUCGCACACUGCUGUUGAGGGAUGUGUGGGCACAUUUCCCUUGUGCUAUCCAGGAAGGGCUAAUGAUUGGAAGGAAAACGUCAGCCCUUCUCAAGCAGCAAAAUAACAGCACCUUCUGUUUCCCCUGAAUCCACAUGAGUGUGGUGCUGUGAAAGAGGUCGCUGGCUGGUGUUGAGGGUGCCUCCGUGCCAGGGAGCACUCAAAGCUACAGACAUUCACCUGCGAAUGGUCAUGGACCUGACCGGCUGUUUUCUCUGCAUUUCUCCCCUGGCUAAAGAUGUGUUGCUGGGUAAAGUGAUUCUCAGACUUGACCUCCUGCUGCCCUGCUCCCACCCUGGAAUGGAGCAGGUGCCAGGUGGACAUGGCUGCAGGUGCUGUGGGAGGUGAGUCGUGCAGCCACAGGGGAAAACGUUUCAGGAUCCAGUGUCCGUCCUUCAAAGUUGCUUCUAACAAGGAAACCGCUGCCUAAUCACCGGCACCUGUCAAAUUGGAAUCUCAGCCAUCAGCCUGUAAGCUGGAUCUGGGAGGCUUUGUUUCUGGAGACUUCUGCUUUCUUUGGAAGGCAGGCUCAAACCUGAUCCUCUAUACAACGGUCCCGAGUUAAAUCUGGCCAGUCUGAAAAGCCAGCCAUGCUGGCGAGUGCAUGAAAAUCCUGCUUCAAAGGCAGAGAGCCGGGCUCCACGCGACAUUCCGCACCUUCCUCAGGGUGGCUUCUCCUUCUCCCUGGCCUCGUACCCUAGAACUUAAAGUAUAAUAAAAAAAUAAAAAAUAAAAAAGGAAGAAAACCUGCAUCAUCAAUGAAAGAAACGUCUAGUUUGUCUAAUUCUAUUGUUUAUCUUUAUUUUUCUAUUUUUCUCUGUCCCUGAAUUUUAAAACUUGUUUUCCCGUGUAUAGAUAGCAGCUCUGAACACUGAAAUUCUGAGAUUAUGUUGAGAAAGACAACCAGUAAA
rnacentral:lncRNA from 10 species